UACGUAGGGGGCAAGCGUUGUCCGGAUUCAUUGGGCGUAAAGAGCGUGUAGGCGGCCAGGUAGGUCGGGUGUGAAAGCCCUGGGCUCAACCCAGGAAGUGCAUUCGAUACUACCGUACUAGAGUCCCGGAGAGGUUGGUGGAACUCUCGGUGUAGAGGUGAAAUUCGUAGAUAUCGAGAAGAACACCGGUGGCGAAGGCGGCCAACUGGACGGUGACUGACGCUGAGACGCGAAAGCGUGGGGAGCAAACAGG
rnacentral:rRNA from 1 species